rnacentral:rRNA from 1 species
AGUUGGGCGUGAAAGCUCCGGGCUUAACCCGGAGAGGCCGUUCAAUACUGCAUAACUUGAGGGUGUCAGAGGGGAGCGGAAUUCCCGGUGUAGCGGUAAAAUGCGCAGAGAUCGGGAGGAACACCAGUGGCGGAGGCGGUUCCCUGGGGCACACCUGACGCUGAGAGACGAAAGCUAGGGGAGCGAACAGGAUUAGAGACCCUGGUAGUCCUAGCCCUAAACGAUGAAUGCUAGGUGUGGGAUCGAAUGGUUCCGUGCCGGAGCGAACGCGAUAAGCAUUCCGCCUGGGGAGUACGGCCGCAAGGUUAAAACUCAAACGAAUUGACGGGGCCCCGCACAAGCAGCGGAGCGUGUGGUUUAAUUCGAUGCUACACGAAGAACCUUACCUGGGUUUGACAUGUAGGUGGUAGUGAAUCGAAAGGUGAACGACCCUUCGGGGAGCCUACACAGGUGCUGCAUGGCUGUCGUCAGCUCGUGCCGUGAGGUGUCGGGUUAAGUCCCGUAACGAGCGCAACCCUUGCUCCUAGUUACAAGUGUCUAGGGGGACUGCCGGCGGAAAGCCGGAGGAAGGUGGGGAUGACGUCAAGUCAGCAUGGCCCUUAUAUCCAGGGCUACACACACGCUACAAUGGUCGGUACAAAGGGCAGCGAAACCGCGAGGCGGAGCGAAUCCGAGAAAAGCCGAUCGUAGUUCGGAUAGCAGGCUGCAACCCGCCUGCUUGAAGCUGGAG